rnacentral:rRNA from 1 species
UUUUUUUUNNCCNCCAACNUUACGGAUACAUUAUNUGACAUAUCAUUCNGUUUCUGACCUAUCAGCUUUAGACGGUAGGGUAUUGGCCUACCGUGGCUAUGACGGGUAACGGGGAAUUAGGGUUCGAUUCCGGAGAGGGAGCCUGAGAAACGGCUACCACAUCUAAGGAAGGCAGCAGGCGCGCAAAUUACCCAAUCCUAAUACAGGGAGGUAGUGACAAGAAAUAACAAUACAGAACCUUACGGUUUUGUAAUUGGAAUGAGUUAAGUAUAAACCCCUUAACAAGUAUCAAUUGGAGGGCAAGUCUGGUGCCAGCAGCCGCGGUAAUUCCAGCUCCAAUAGCGUAUAUUAAAGUUGUUGCAGUUAAAAAGCUCGUAGUUAAUCUUCUGUUAAUUUUUAUAUAUAAUAUUUCGAUAUUUAUAUAAUAUUAACAUAAUUCAUAUUACUUUUUAGUAUA